rnacentral:lncRNA from 1 species
UUGUGUCCGAUGAGAGCUGCAAAUUUUUACUCAAGUGUUCUUAUCCGAACUUGUCACGAUCAAUAAAUGAUGCUCGCAGCCUACUAGUUAGUUCAGUUGCUUGCAAGCUCGGGGUCUCCAAACAGAAAACAUCACGAAUUUCUGAAUUCAUUUGUCAGUUGCCACUUUGCAUAUAAUUUAUGAUCCUUGUCAUUCCCAGUUGUAAUAUUGCAUUUCCACGCGAUGGGAUUAUGACCGCAACUAUGGUGAGACCUGCUCUCUGGUUUUGUUCUCUUAGUUUCGAUACUACUCUCUCCGUUCCAAAUUGUAGGUCGUUUUGGCUUUUAGGUGCAUAGAUGUUUGUAUGCACCUAGACAUACACCUAUGCAUACAAACAUCUAUGCACCUAGAAAAGCUAAAACGACCUACAAUUUGGAAUGGAUGGAGUAGAAAUUAGUGUGAUGAGCUGGUUGAGAGAUCUAGGACACUGGUCUAGCAAAAGAAAAAGAAGAAGAAAUUAGUGUGAAGAAGAGGGUUUGGAAUUUAUCUUCUAUGGAACUUCUCAGAUAGGCAUGGGUGAGAAAACAUGUGCACUUUGGGACAGUUUCUGUUUCACAAUUGCUGAGUCAUUGACUAGCUUGCUUGCUAAGAGAACGCUAGCUUUGCAGUACUGGCUAAUGGCUAUUGAGAGUUAGUUGCUAUAGGGUGUUUGUGCAUCUUCCUCUGUCAAGAUACCCUUAUGUCCCAUGUGCGCAUUUUUUUUUCUUGGCCAUAGUCUUUACAUGCCCUAGGUGCAUAUGGUAGCUAAUACGAUUAAUCUGUGAACUGAUUGUUUGGGCUUAUACUGUGAGAACUCCUUAUUUAAUACUGCUCAUAGCAAGCUGCAACCAUUUUGUUAUUUCUCACCAUUAACUGGAACAGUGCCCUUAUGUUGCUAUUUAGUCAGCCAAUUAGCCAUUGUUUGACUUCUCUAUUCUCUACACAGAAUAAUUACAGGAGCUUAUGAUACUUUAAACCGCUGGAGCAUCAUUGAUCUAAUCUAACCAUCUAUUUCUAAGGGUACUUUUGUUAUUAGCUUGUCAGUUUCUCAAAAAUGUCCUUGUUGAGGAGCAUUAAUAUAUCCAAUUAACAGUCCAUCCCCAUGCUGAGCAGCCUCCUAUGCCGUCAAUCCAGUCCUUCUCUUGAGUCUGCCUUUCUAUCAACUGGGUUAUAUAAAUGCCGGAAAACCCUAAUCCAUUGGGCCAUUGCACUGGCUCAGCCGCAACCCAUGUGACCCCACUGCAAAAAAUGGACCACGGUCGUUGUGGAUGUUCCUCUUUUGCUGAUCUUUACCCACAGCUUCCUCUUCCUUUGUUGCCGCUGGCUGUGCACGGUGCAUAGAAUAGCAACAUUGCCUGUCCACUUUGAGAGGAAGACGAAGACCCUGCUUCUUUCUGCUUGAUGGGUCCAUAUACCCUUUUGGCAUCUUAUUAAUUAUCAAGACCAUUAAGCCGAAUGAUGGGCUCAGACACUAGGAUUCCAUUCAAAGUUCAAAUCUGCAUCCUUAUAUAGAUUAUGGCUCACCCUAACCUAAACAAGGUUAGCCGAAAACGGUGUUUGAUUGAGCCAACAUGCAAGGUGGUCUCGUGCCCCUGCCUCAAUCCAGUGCGCCACCACCCACCAGCAUUAGGAGGAAGAGGAACUCUAGGAAAGGGAACGAAGAAAAUUAAGAGGGGAAAAUUGGUUCUAUAGCACUGAAAGAUCGCGACUUCGUAAAAUACCA